rnacentral:rRNA from 1 species
GAUGAACGCUGGCGGCGUGCUUAACACAUGCAAGUCGAACGAAGCAUUUGCGACAGAUUUUUUCGGAAUGAAGUUGCUUAUGACUGAGUGGCGGACGUGUGAGUAACGCGUGGGUAACCUGCCUUGUACUGGGGGAUAGCAGCUGGAAACGGCUGGUAAUACCGCAUAAGCGCACAAUGUUGCAUGACAUGGUGUGAAAAACUCCGGUGGUAUAAGAUGGACCCGCGUCUGAUUAGCUAGUUGGUGAGAUAACAGCCCACCAAGGCGACGAUCAGUAGCCGACCUGAGAGGGUGACCGGCCACAUUGGGACUGAGACACGGCCCAGACUCCUACGGGAGGCAGCAGUGGGGAAUAUUGCACAAUGGAGGAAACUCUGAUGCAGCGACGCCGCGUGAGUGAAGAAGUAAUUCGUUAUGUAAAGCUCUAUCAGCAGGGAAGAUAGUGACGGUACCUGACUAAGAAGCUCCGGCUAAAUACGUG